rnacentral:lncRNA from 1 species
AAAUUGAAGAUCGAAUUCAAUCAUUGUAUUCAUAUAGGGUCAAGGAGUGUAGGUAAAAAAAUCAUCAAAAUCGGAGUUAAAAUGACCGUUAAAUCGUGAUUUUUCUUUUUAUAACCGUCGAAAAGUUUUGUCCCGUUACUUGAAUCUCUGAAUGUUUGUUUUUUGCAAUUUUUGGCGUAUGCGAUCUCGAAGUAUAUACAAACAUGUUUGACGGUUGGAUCAUUGAAACUAGUUUCGUAGAAUGAGUAUCCAUCAAAACAAUAGAUUCACUAAUACUUAAGAGUUUAUUCAUACUUUUAUUAAGUAUAACAUAAGAUUUUUUUGGUAUCCACUAGUGUAAAUAUUUUAAAUUGAAGAUCGAAUUCAAUCAUUGUAUUCAUAUAGGGUCAAGGAGUGUAGUUGUAAAAAAUCAUCAAAAUCGGAGUUAAAAAUGACCGUUAAAUCGUGAUUUUUUCGUUUAUAACCGUCGAAAAGUUUUGUCCCGUUACUUGAUCUCUGAAUGUUUGUUUUUUGCAAUUUUUGGCGUAUGCGAUCUCGAAGUAUAUACAAACAUGUUUUGACGGUUGGAUCAUUGAAACUAGUUUCGUAGAAUGAGUAUCCCAUCAAAACAAUAGAUUCACUAAUACUUAAUAGUUUAUUCAUACUUUUAUUAAGUAUAACAUAAGAUUUUGUGGUAUCCACUAGUGUAAAUAUUUUAAAUUGAAGAUCGAAUUCAAUCAUUGUAUUCAUAUAGGGUCAAGGAGUGUAGCUGCAAAAAAUCAUCAAAAUCGGAGUUAAAAUGACCGUUAAAUCGUGAUUUUUCGUUUUUUAUAACCGUCGAAAAGUUUUGUCCCGUUACUUGAUCUCUGAAUGUUUGUUUUUUGUAAUUUUUGACGUAUGCGAUCUCGAAGUAUAUACAAACAUGUUUGACGGUUGGAUCA